GAGAAAGAGAGAGAGGGAGAGAGAGAAGGAUCAAGAGAAGGAGCAAGAGGGAGAGAGAUAGCGACAGAGGCAGAGACAGAGAGAGACCAAGAGAGACCAAGAGAGAGAUAGCUACAGAGGCAGAGACUGAGAGAGAGAGAGAGAGAGAGAGAGAGAGAGAGUGAGAGAGAGCGAGAGAGAGAGAGAGCUAGAGAGAGAGAGAGCGAGAGAGAGAGAGAGAGAGAGAGAGAGAGAGAGCGACAGAGGCUGAGGCAGAGACCAAGUGAGAGAGAGUUUGCAUUCACAUGUGCCUGUGAUUCGCCUCCUUAUCUUGCGCUGCAACAAAGCCAUGUCUGUUCUGUGUGGCACAUCAGUGCCUAUCGAGCGUUUACAUAAGAGCGGGGGCGGCUAAGGCGGCUGGAGAGAGAACCACUGAUGAGAUCAAGGCAGAAACCCGGCCUGGAUCUGCUCAAGGGGUCUCGCUGGGGUACUUACACCCCCUAAAGCCACUAAUUAAGAGAACAAAGGGAAACACGGCGGACUUCUCGGAGGAAGGGACCAUACCAACUACUGCACACUAGAGGUGUAACGAUACAUGUAUUCUAGGGCUGUAACGAUACACAAACUCACGAUUCGGUUUGUAUCACGAUUUUUGACCCACGGUUCGAUACAUCCCACGAUUUUUUUGAAAUUUAAAAAGCAUUUUAUUUCAACAACACUUAUAUACCAAUUAACUUAAUGUAACAUUUAAUAAC
ensembl:lncRNA